GACGAACCGUGCGAACGUUGUUCGGAUUCACUGGGCUUAAAGGGCGCGUAGGCGGGUGCCCAAGUCCGGGGUGAAAUCCUCCAGCUCAACUGGAGAACAGCCUUGGAUACUGGGCACCUCGAGGGAGGUAGGGGCGGGCGGAACUUCCGGUGGAGCGGUGAAAUGCGUAGAUAUCGGAAGGAACGCCGGUGGCGAAAGCGGCCCGCUGGACCUCUUCUGACGCUGAGGCGCGAAAGCCAGGGGAGCGAACGGG
rnacentral:rRNA from 1 species